ACGAACGCUGGCGGCGUGCUUAACACAUGCAAGUCGAACGUGAAAGUCCUUCGGGAUGAGUAAAGUGGCGCACGGGUGAGUAAUAAAUAGGAACGUGCCUAUCGGCGGGGAACAACUGUGGGAAACUACAGCUAAUACCGCAUAAGAUCGAGAGAUGAAAGGGGGCCUCUGCUUGCAAGCUUCCACCGAUAGAGCGGCCUAUUUCCCAUUAGCUAGUUGGCAGGGUAAAGGCCUACCAAGGCGACGAUGGGUAGCUGGUCUGAGAGGAUGAUCAGCCACACUGGAACUGAGACACGGUCCAGACUCCUACGGGAGGCAGCAGUGGGGAAUCUUGCACAAUGGACGAAAGUCUGAUGCAGCAACGCCGCGUGAGUGAAGAAGGUUCUUGGAUUGUAAAGCUCUUUCGACCAAGAAGAAGGGCUUUUAGGUUAAUACCCUAGAAGUUUGACGGUACUGGGAGAAGAAGCACCGGCUAAUUCCGU
rnacentral:rRNA from 1 species